UCGGGAAUUUUGGGCAAUGGGCGAAAGCCUGACCCAGCAACGCCGCGUGAAGGAUGAAGUAUUUCGGUAUGUAAACUUCGUAAGAAUAGGAAGAAUAAAUGACGGUACUAUUUGUAAGGUCCGGCUAACUACGUGCCAGCAGCCGCGGUAAUACGUAGGGACCAAGCGUUGUUCGGAUUUACUGGGCGUAAAGGGCGCGUAGGUGGCUGUAUAAGUCAGAUGUGAAAUCCUAGAGCUCAACUCUAGAAGUGCAUCUGAUACUGUAUAGCUUGAGUCUCAGAGAGGAUGGAGGAAUUCCCAGUGUAGAGGUGAAAUUCGUAGAUAUUGGGAGGAACAUCGGUGGCGAAGGCGUCCAUCUGGAUGAAGACUGACACUGAGGCGCGAAAGCGUGGGGAGCAAACAGGAUUAGAUACCCCAGUAGUCCCUGAGCGGGCUGGCAAGGCGCAU
rnacentral:rRNA from 1 species